rnacentral:rRNA from 1 species
GUUGAUGAUCGGUGCUUGCACCGAGAUUCAACAUGGAACGAGUGGCGGACGGGUGAGUAACACGUGGGUAACCUGCCCUUAAGUGGGGGAUAACAUUUGGAAACAGAUGCUAAUACCGCAUAGAUCCAAGAACCGCAUGGUUCUUGGCUGAAAGAUGGCGUAAGCUAUCGCUUUUGGAUGGACCCGCGGCGUAUUAGCUAGUUGGUGAGGUAAUGGCUCACCAAGGCGAUGAUACGUAGCCGAACUGAGAGGUUGAUCGGCCACAUUGGGACUGAGACACGGCCCAAACUCCUACGGGAGGCAGCAGUAGGGAAUCUUCCACAAUGGACGCAAGUCUGAUGGAGCAACGCCGCGUGAGUGAAGAAGGCUUUCGGGUCGUAAAACUCUGUUGUUGGAGAAGAAUGGUCGGCAGAGUAACUGUUGUCGGCGUGACGGUAUCCAACCAGAAAGCCACGGCUAACUACGUGCCAGCAGCCGCGGUAAUACGUAGGUGGCAAGCGUUAUCCGGAUUUAUUGGGCGUAAAGCGAGCGCAGGCGGUUUUUUAAGUCUGAUGUGAAAGCCCUCGGCUUAACCGAGGAAGCGCAUCGGAAACUGGGAAACUUGAGUGCAGAAGAGGACAGUGGAACUCCAUGUGUAGCGGUGAAAUGCGUAGAUAUAUGGAAGAACACCAGUGGCGAAGGCGGCUGUCUGGUCUGUAACUGACGCUGAGGCUCGAAAGCAUGGGUAGCGAACAGGAUUAGAUACCCUGGUAGUCCAUGCCGUAAACGAUGAAUGCUAGGUGUUGGAGGGUUUCCGCCCUUCAGUGCCGCAGCUAACGCAUUAAGCAUUCCGCCUGGGGAGUACGACCGCAAGGUUGAAACUCAAAGGAAUUGACGGGGGCCCCGCACAAGCGGUGGAGCAUGUGGUUUAAUUC